GAAUAUUGUACACUGCUUUGUUUGAUCCUCAGCCUAUAUGGAUUAAUGAUGGGCAUAUAUGUGUGAGAACGAUUUCAUUAUUGAAACUAUUACUAAGGGGAGGAAUUGAGGAAGUGAAAAUGGGCAGAUACUGAUUCUCCACCAGAAGAAUCAUAGGCAAAGAAACACUAAUUCCUCUACAAAAUGGAAGUUUCUGCCUGCCUCAACCACCUUCCAAAGCUGCUGGAAGUGGGUGGAUGAACACACAGAGCUCUUGCUGAACUACUGAGCUUGGACACAAGCUUUGAGGCCACAUGGUUGAAUCCAAGAGUCAUCCUUCAUCCCUGGACCAGAGACAUCCCAUGAACCUUCAUCCUUUGCCUGGUAGCAGCUGUGUGGUGGAAUGGCAUCUCCCUGGCUCCUGCACAUGCAAAACAUUUGAAUUUCCUGUUGGCUCAGAGGAACCAGGCCACAGAUGCCUUGGACUUGGAAUUCAGCUUGCAAGCGAGAACAAGUGUGACCAGCAGGAGAUGGGCCAUCUUGCUGAGAAGAGAUCCUGAAGCAUUGUACAAAUGGAGAUUUUCAUUCAGAAUCAGACCUCACAAAACAUGUGGCCGAUAAAGUGUAGGCCACAUUUUUAUAAAGAUUUUUAAAAAUCUCACUUUUGAACAAAUCAUUAGCCCUUUACUUUUUUUUCUCUGCAGAUAUUAAGAGACUGAAAAUCAAUAUUUGAAGGAAAGAGAACAGCUGGGAACCUGGAGUUCAGCAUAGACAUUUUGCAUAAUAGGGAAUUCUUGUUUUCCAAGUAGCAAAGAUAGGAAGUAUUAUUGUGUGGCAACUUUGUCUCCAGAUUUUUUUUUUUUUUUAAUAGAAAAUGGUGGAUUCUUUCCAGGAGAACUAUCAAACAGCUAAGUGUCUGGAUGUCACAGCUGCAUCCUGUAAAUGUCUCUUUAGUUUCACCAAUGGUAAAACCUGUUUUGACCUUCUAGUAAAAGAAAAUAGCCCAAAUAUACCAGAGAAAGCACAGUGUCUCCAAAGGGCCUGGCCUAAGUGAGCACCCAGAAUCCCAGAAAGCCAAGAAAUUUGAAGGCAGUCAGACUUGAUUUAAUUAUUUUUUACUACAAGUCUCAUUUGAGAGAAUGAUUAACGGGAGAAGAGACAUAAAUGGCAAAGUCUUGAUCAAAGAAGCUGCUGUCAGAGUACCAUCUAGAUAAAUUAGGAAAAGAAUGCUCAGGUUUCUGUGAAAGAAGACUAAUGACAUCAAGUCAAGAUGAAAUAGAAAGGAGCAGCAUUGCAGGCUGGAAAUCAUAAAAGACUAGCGUGCCCUGACAAGAAGCCCUGAGAAAUUUCCCGAACUGGAAAGUAAUUGGAAUUGGAAAGGAAUUACUUUCUGUAAGUGCCGGGUCUUGAAGUUUCGCAGGACUGAAGAUGACCCAGGCACCAAACUUGCUUUUUGGAACCUGUCAAGACAAGUGAAGAAAUCUUCUGGAAGCAUCUGAAGCUGUUAGUAUCAGCUCUACACACUGCAGGUAUUCUGCAUCUUAUGCACUCUACUCAACUAGGAUCAGUCCCUUCACCUAAAAGCUCAAACGGUCCCACCUGGAGGCAAGCAGACAGUGGAUAUAAGGAGACUGUGAAACUAACAGCUAACAACUGAGCCAAGAUCACUGCGACCAGCAGAGUUCACUGAGACCAGCAGCUGAUCACUUCAGACCAGCAGAGGAUCAGUUAGAUCAUUCAGAGCAAUGGAGCAACCUGGCCAAUCAAUGAAGGAAGGUGUAUGAAUAUAUGUGCCAGAGGGUAAAUGAAUAGCUCCAGCCUCAAAGAGAGUUCUUGGACAGGAGGUAAUCUGACACAAAGCAUAUUUACACCAUAGCAUUUUUCAAGAUGACCAUUUGGAAACAACAUUUGGAGGAACAUUUGGAUUGCAUCCUCUAACUAAAUUUCCAAGCUGUUGGUAACGGACUAAAGAAAAUGUGGUCUGCACUGAAUACUAAAGAGCUGCAAAUAGUAGUCCCAUAGUGGCAGUGGAGCACUGUGGAAAUAAAAGACAAGAGAGAUAUGCCAAGGAUGAAGCGUGUUCUGGAAGGGAUGAACCCGUGUCCCUCAUCCCUAAAUAUGACCAAGGUUGAUCCUGUGGUGGAUGGUAGGGACCUCAGUUAUUUUACUUCUGCCCAUGGGAUCCCACUUCAAUUGCAGCUGUUUGAAUUAACAUGUUUCCUUGCUGCAUCUCCUGGCUGAGGGAAGUGCAAGUGCUACCAUGGCCAGCAGAACAGACAGAUACCUGAUGUAUUACUUCAUCAGCAAAUUCAACAAGGCCAAGAUGUCUUCAUUUUCCUUCAGAGCAAGAGCUGUAAGAGCAGUGUGGUGGAAGGAUUGGUCUUCUGUGGCCAGCCAGAAAGAAGGGAAAAGAGGGAUUUGACCAAUCAUGUCAACUGUGGCCUUAUGUUUGAAGAACAGUUUUUCAAGCAACUGCUCUCAGAGGAAACGCUGGUUCUCAGUGGGAAAUCAGGUUGCUGUUUGCUUGCCAGUGGUGACCAAGGUAAACAGGUGUGUCCAGAGCUACUGUGUCAGCAAAAGUUCUAAAAAGCUCAUGGUAAAGUGUCUGCUUUCACCUCUCAGAUUCAAGCUGAUUAAAUAGUUUGAGGAAAAGUGCUGUGGGCAGUGAAGAACAAUGAAGAUCAUUUAGAUGAGCUGCAGCACUACUGGUCUUCUGAUAAAUUUUCAAAAUUUGAGAUGAGUGGCAAAUUUUUCAGCGAAUCCAAGGGAACCAGAGUAGGGAUGGUCAGCUUAGCAAGAGAAACUAAGGCACCAGUAAAUAAGGAGCACCAUAGUGGGUAAAACUCAAGUGAAGGAGAUGAGAAUCAAGCCCAGGCAGAGUACAGGAGCUGCAAUGCAGGAGCCAGUCCUCCCUGUGCAACCUUUAAGUGAGGAAGAGGUGAUUUCAGAGCUAACUGAGAGUUAACUGGCUACGUUUCAACUGUCACCAUUGUCUUAAAUCUACAUAGAGAGUGGAGAGAGCCAGAGAGGUGUACUUAGCACUUAUGAAAUGCAAGCUCAAGGCAGGCUGUGAGGAACAUCUACCCUUAGAGAAGUCUUUCUGGAAGGCCAAAGAAAUUAUUUGCUGAAAUAUCAGUGCAUCAUGACAAGAUUUUUGAAGCUGAUUGUUACUCCAUGGAAUCCAAAUCAUAAGGUUUCCAGGAGAUGGGGUGGUGUGAACCCUGCCUUGGAGACCUCUGGACGAGUCCUCCUUCCCAGUGCUGGGUGUGCUCCUCCUCGCUGGCCAGGACACUGAGGAGCCCCAGUGUGUGGCUCCUCCAGCAAUCAGUGGAACUAUUAAUUAACCUGAGGGCAGUCCCUGGCCCAUUGCAAGCAUGGCAAGAUCCAUGCAAAGGGGCAGAUACGGAAGAAGAUACAGGCUCACAUUCCAGCAAAGAUGUCCACAGAGGGAUGUGCUUCCCUCUAAGGAGCUAUCAGGUCCCACUGACACUGCUGCCUUCUAACAUGGAUGUUCUUCAGCCUGCAUCACUCAUCCAUAGGACACAGCUCUUUUCAUACCAUCUUCCCCACACAGGGCUGAGGUUCCUGUGGAAAUACUGUCAGUGUUCCUACCUGUGCCUGUGGUGGGUGCUGAGUCUCAGGAGAACAGAGAUCAAGCACAUCCGUGCAAAGGGUGGCCGGUUGGGAUCGCAUCUGUGAAGCAGCACAGUCACCAAGGAGCAGGUUGGAGAAGAAACAGCACUGUUGUACCCAUGGCAUGAGACAGGGGAGCCCUCAGGAGUCAGGCACCCGCUGUGGUUGGUGGGAUAUAAACAAAUCCCAUGGAGAACCAAGAUGUUCCCACAAAGAAUAAAAUAUCUCUCCAGAUUUCAAGUCAACCAGGAAUGGUACAAACUUGGUCAGGGACUCCAGGCAGUGCCUGGUGGGUUCUGCAAGGCCUAGGGGCAGGAGCACUGUGGCUUCCCCAGAAUAUCACUAACAUAUAGUUGCCAGCAAACCCCAGGUGCACACAGAAUCAAUCUGGAGCUGAAAACAUCCCCGUAGGAAGCGUACACAUCUCUGCUUAUACAGGAACAGAAACAGCAAUAACUUCAGGUCC